rnacentral:tRNA from 1 species
CAUUAAAUGACUGAAAGCAAGUAAUGGUCUCUUAAACCAUCUUAUAGUAAAUUAGCACUUAUUUUUAAUGA